AGACAGACAGAACCGUGCACUAGGCCUAUCUAUCAGUAUAGGCAGGUCAGCCACCAGACAGACAGUCAGAACCGUGCACUAGGCCUAUCUAUCAGUAUAGGCAGGUCAGUCACCAGACAGACAGUCAGAACCGUGCACUAGGCCUAUCUAUCAGUAUAGGCAGGUCAGCCACCAGACAGACAGUCAGAACCGUGCACUAGGCCUAUCUAUCAGUAUAGGCAGGUCAGUCACCAGACAGACAGUCAGAACCGUGCACUAGGCCUAUCUAUCAGUAUAGGCAGGUCAGUCACCAGACAGACAGUCAGAACCGUGCACUAGGCCUAUCUAUCAGUAUAGGCAGGUCAGUCACCAGACAGACAGUCAGAACCGUGCACUAGGCCUAUCUAUCAGUAUAGGCAGGUCAGUCACCAGACAGACAGUCAGAACCGUGCACUAGGCCUAUCUAUCAGUAUAGGCAGGUCAGUCACCAGACAGACAGUCAGAACCGUGCACUAGGCCUAUCUAUCAGUAUAGGCAGGUCAGUCACCAGACAGACAGUCAGAACCGUGCACUAGGCCUAUCUAUCAGUAUAGGCAGGUCAGUCACCAGACAGACAGUCAGAACCGUGCACUAGGCCUAUCUAUCAGUAUAGGCAAGUCGGCCAGCAGGCAGACAGUCAGAACCGUGUACUAGGCCUAUCUAUCAGUAUAGGCAAGUCGGCCAGCAGGCAGACAGUCAGAACUGUGCACUAGGCCUCUCUCUCGGCAAUCAAAAACUGUAACCGCAUUCCACUGUGAGAAUCUUGCAAUUUCUUGGCUUGCAAUGUCUCGCAGCUUCGUUAAAGCAGGACCUAUCAUCAAUGACUUAUGCUCUUCUAAAUGCAACAGAAUGAAGACUGAACACACUUACUGCACUGACUCAGAUGACUGAUGAUUGGCUAAAAUAAAUGCAUAAUAGCAGCCUUUGAUGUUAUUGAUCAUAAUUUGUUAUUGAAAAAAAUGUUAUGGCUUUAAAUCACCAGCCACAUGGUUGGAGAGUUACUUCUCUAAUAGAACUCAGAGAGUGUUCUUCAAUGGAAGCAACGUUUCCUUGUUGCCUUACUGUUCUCUAUUUUUACAAAUGAUUUGCCACUUGUUUUACAACAAGCUAAAAUUACUAGCUGUCUAUAUAAGGUCCCACAGUUGACAGUGCAUGUCAGAGCAAAAACCAAGCCAUGAGGUCAAAGAAGUAGUCCGUAGAGCUCCGAGACAGGAUUGUGUCGAGGUACAGAUCUGGGGAAGGUCCUCAGCUGGCAUGCCAUCCAGCCCUGGAGGUUUCCCAGACUUAAAAGCUUUAUUUACAUCAGUAAGUUUCUCCUCUGGAAUUUGGCCUUCUUUCUGUACAGCUGUUCAUUUUACAUUAUUCAAAUAAAAAAAUGCUUACAAUUGACUUUGGUUAGUAAAGAUGGCGGGAACUGAAACUAAUACAUGGGCUUAAAGUACUUUGCUUCCUCUUUCAAAAUAUAUUUUGGUGAAUCAUGGAUGACUUGGUCAUUUGUAACAGUAAAUAAUUUUUUGUAGUGUUUCUAGGUUGAAGGUUAAUAAAGAAUUGGGUAUUUUUUUCCACAUAUUCCAUCCAGUUCGCUUUAUUUGUUAUAAUAUAUUGCACUGGGUCUUUCUUGAAUAAGCUCCUCCAUGUCUUUUUGCUUUUCCUUUAACUUACUCUGAGCCUCUAUGGUACAGUUUGUUUUGCUAUCUAACUGUACUGUUAGAACUUAUUUCCUUCGUUUAUAUGGACUCUUUUGACCUAAAUGUCUUUUGUUUUAGAGAUGAGAACUGAAUUGCAUGGCCUCUAAAGGCACAUUUCAAAGUGUCCCAUACAAUAAGGGGAUCUGCUGUACCUAUUUUAUAUCGGAAAAAGACAGUUAUAAAUUCUUCUGUCCUGUCCUGGUAAAAAAAAUAAAAGUUACCAUCCAAUAGAACACGUUUCCACCCUGACUGUUGUCUGUCUGAUAGAACACGUUUCCACCCUGACUGUUGUCUGUCUGAUAGAACACGUUUCCACCCUGACUGUUGUCUGUCUGAUAGAACACGUUUCCACCCUGACUGUUGUCUGUCUGAUAGAACACGUUUCCACCCUGACUGUUGUCUGUCUGAUAGAACACGUUUCCACCCUGACUGUUGUCUGUCUGAUAGAACACGUUUCCACCCUGACUGUUGUCUGUCUGAUAGAACACGUUUCCACCCUGACUGUUGUCUGUCUGAUAGAACACGUUUCCACCCUGACUGUUGUC